CCUACGGGUGGCAGCAGUAGGGAAUAUUGCUCAAUGGGGGAAACCCUGAAGCAGCAACGCCGCGUGGAGGAUGAAGGUUUUCGGAUUGUAAACUCCUUUUGUUAGAGAAGAUAAUGACGGUAUCUAACGAAUAAGCACCGGCUAACUCCGUGCCAGCAGCCGCGGUAAUACGGAGGGUGCAAGCGUUACUCGGAAUCACUGGGCGUAAAGAGGGCGUAGGCGGGAUAGCAAGUCAGAUGUGAAAUCCUAUGGCUUAACCAUAGAACUGCAUUUGAAACUGUUAUUCUAGAGUAUGGGAGAGGUAGGUGGAAUUCUAGGUGUAGGGGUAAAAUCCGUAGAGAUCAAGAGGAAUACUCAUUGCGAAGGCGACCUGCUAGAACAUAACUGACGCUGAUGCGCGAAAGCGUGGGGAGCAAACAGGAUUAGAUACCCCGGUAGUC
rnacentral:rRNA from 1 species